CGCGAAUCGCCCUUCGGGGUGCAGCAGGCGCGAAAACUCCACAAUGUACGACAGUACGAUGGGGUUAUCUCGAGUGCAGUCCGAUAAGGGCUGCUUUUCCAUAGAGUAAUAUCCUGUGGGAAUAAGAGGGGGGCAAGACUGGUGUCAGCCGCCGCGGUAACACCAGCCCCUCGAGUGGUGGGGACUAUUAUUUGGUCUAAAGCGUCCGUAGCUGGCUGUAUCCGUCCCCCGUUAAAUCCAGCGUCCUAAGCGUUGGACUGCGGGUGAUACCAUACAGCUAGAGGGUGGGAUAGGUGAGCGGUAUUUCUGGGGUAGGGGCGAAAUCCUUUGAUCCCAGGAGGACCACCAGGGGCGAAGGCUGCUCACUAGAACACGCCUGACGGUCAGGGACGAAAGCUGGGGCAGCGAACCGGAUUAGAUACCCGGGUAGUCCCAGCUGUAAACGAUGCCGCUAGNGUGUUGGGUCGGCCACGCGCCGCCCCAGUGCCGCAGGGAAGCCGUUAAGCUGGCCACCUGGGGAGUACGGCCGCAAGGCUGAAACUUAAAGGAAUUGGCGGGGGAGCAC
rnacentral:rRNA from 1 species